ensembl:lncRNA
GCCGUGUCGACAGAGAAUCCAAGCCAGAUGGCGAAAGAGGUAUUGUAAAAUGUUGAAUGCUAGCAGGGAGAUGCGCCUGGCUCACGGCUAACUGGUGCUAGCUUCGUGGCAGUGGCGUUAUCCACUAUAGAUCCACUAUAGCCAAUCGGUAGCAGCGGUGAACUGGUGCCAAGGUCCAGAGUUACAGCAAGGAUCCGGUGGAGUAUUGGGCUCUAGCCGUGUAUGAGUGGGGUUCGGGAGAACAGCUGAGUAGGCUGGGAGGUGGGCCUCAGGGAUAGCUUCGGUACUGGAUGCCACGGUGAGUGCAAGCAAAUAAUUACAUCGCAAAGAGUGUUUAACCCUCUACUAUUAAAGUGUAUUGCUCUCUGUUUGAGACUGAUAAUAGGACGUAACACAGGGAUGAGGAGAAAACAAUAAUUUGGAUCCUACACAACACAUUGUUGUUUUACCUAAAUAAUUCCACAAGAGGGCAACAUAUCAACAUUUGUUAACAUUUCUACUGCCUUCAGUCCAUGAAGUCCCCAACUAACUAAAAGUCUGCGUCUGCAAAAAUGCUCUUUUAUCAUAACUCGACAUGAAAGUAGCCAAGCCAAAACCGUCAAUGACAUGCUAUUCGAUAUAUAAAAUGAGCUAUGGUGGAAGAAAAGGUAGUACAGAGAGAUGAUGAUGAUCCCCCGGGGGAGUGGAGGGAGGUUGCUGAGGAAGAACCAGUGGCCCAGCUCAAGAAGGAGCCCAAGAAGACAGGAAAGGUGAAGAGGAAAAGUAGUGCCAAGAAGUCAGGGGAGCAGGGCACUGAUACGGAUGCAGGUCAUAGAUUUUCCCUCUGUAGUAUGUUGGUUCUCUAAACCUGCAUAUCAUAGAUAAAGGUCAUGUUAGAAACUGUAGUCAGUAAGAAAUGUUGCAUGGAUAGUUUUAUUCAAUAGUCCUAUUGUAGCAAUUUUAUCAAAGUAUUGUAUUAAGAGAAAAGCGUCUGACUUAUCCUGAAUUGUCCUAUAUGGUAAUAACAUAUUUAGGAUUGAGGAAUAAACACCCGGACAGAGGAUCUGUUAUUGAGCUCUUGGAGAAGAAUGCUCUUAAGGCUGCAUUCGGCCCAGGCAACAAAGAUGAGAUGGAGGACUGCUACCCAAUCCUCAUCUCAUUCAUGCGCAAUCUUACUGAUGAGCAAUGGCAAGUGAUCUAUAAAGGAUUUAAAAAACCUAUGACAAAGGAACAGCUUGCAAAAUUGUGCAAGACCAUUGUCAACUUCAUUACACAGACCACCCUGCAGAUCCUGCUGCCGGCCCUGGCCCGCAUUCUAGGGGUGACGGGCUUUUAUGACAACGCUGACUCACUCAAGAGGGGCGGCAGUGCAAGAUCCUUCACUGCCUUUGAGCAGAAAAGACUGGAGCUCAUCCAGGAAGUUAAAUAUUUGGCGAAGGAGAUGUGUAACUGUGGCGGCAAGGCUCUCCAACCAAGGUCUAGCACACCCUCUUCCAAGAGUUCCCAGACCUCACUGAAAGCCCACCUGGGAAUGCCAGAGGACAGUAUCAUCAGCAGUGUCCAGGAGCAACUGUCAAAAUCUGACCAAAUGGUGGCUGCAGGACAGCUUUCACAAAUAGAAAAAGUGGUUGGACCUAUGCUGGAGAACAUUGAGAAGAUUAGCAGCGAACGUGGCGAGGAAUUGGUCUAUCAAGAGUCACUACGGUCUUCUUCCUCGUUGUCAUUCUCAACUGCCAAAUCACAGAAGACAGAGUGGGAAUUUGCACUCCCUGGCACUCCCAUUCCUUCUGAGUUACCCGAGAGUACUGCUCAGCCCAUUGUAAGAUGCUCAGUCAUUGACUUGAGCGAAUCUACUAAGCCAAAAACAAUGGUGUGUGAUGCCAGAACAAGCAUGUUUGCCAUAGCCGAUACCAUCAUGAAGAAGGUAUAUCCAGAGGCAGAAGGGCAGGUUACAUCUCACCCUGAUCUAACAGAUGCAAUAGCUAGACUGGAGGAGCUCAUAUAUCAGGGUAGGAUUGGUGCUCUCUCCCGUGAUCUCAGUCACCAAGUGAACCGCAUAAUUUCCGAUAGCAACUUGACCCCUCUGGGACUGACAGUGGUGGCUGGAAAGAGUGCAUCUGAUACCAUCCUUUCGAAGCUGAAGAGGAAUGACAAGGUGUGGAAGCCCACAACUUACGAGCUGGUUCAGCUGUUUGUAGAGGAGUCUGUUAAGUGCCUCCUGCUUCCUAGUUUUAUGCCCUAUUCAACUUCAAUGAGUUUGGCUCAGGGGGCCAAGGUGUUGGCUAGAGUGUCUGAAGAUAGAAUUUCAUGCUCUUCUUCUUCAUCAGUAUUUAGUGACACAGUCAGUCUCUUUACCAAAGUUAUGGUAAGCCAGGUCAUGUACUCUGUGGAUUCUGAUGCAGAAAGUAGAGGAUCCUCUCCAACUGAAUCUCUCCAAACAUCUGAAACCACUAUAUCUGAUGUAGGCAAUCUAUUGAGUGGCAAGUCCUCCCCUGGGCUGUCUCCUUCUGGCGCCAUUAUGGCAACAAGCGAGACCUCCAAUGCAGCACAAAUCUUGAAGGCCAACAUUGAUGGAGAGGAAGUGGAUACCACCAGUCAUUCUGGUGUAGCUCAAAACAUUGUCAGGGACGAUACCCAAGAAGACUCGAGGCUGUAAUCGCUGCCAAAGGUGCUUCAACAAAGUACUGAGUAAAGGGUCUGAAUA